GAUGAACGCUGGCGGCGUGCCUAAUACAUGCAAGUCGAGCGAACGGACGAGAAGCUUGCUUCUCUGAUGUUAGCGGCGGACGGGUGAGUAACACGUGGAUAACCUACCUAUAAGACUGGGAUAACUUCGGGAAACCGGAGCUAAUACGGGAUAAUAUUUUGAACCGCAUGGUUCAAAAGUGAAAGACGGUCUUGCUGUCACUUAUAGAUGGAUCCGCGCUGCAUUAGCUAGUUGGUAAGGUAACGGCUUACCAAGGCAACGAUGCAUAGCCGACCUGAGAGGGUGAUCGGCCACACUGGAACUGAGACACGGUCCAGACUCCUACGGGAGGCAGCAGUAGGGAAUCUUCCGCAAUGGGCGAAAGCCUGACGGAGCAACGCCGCGUGAGUGAUGAAGGUCUUCGGAUCGUAAAACUCUGUUAUUAGGGAAGAACAUAUGUGUAAGUAACUGUGCACAUCUUGACGGUACCUAAUCAGAAAGCCACGGCUAACUACGUGCCAGCAGCCGCGGUAAUACGUAGGUGGCAAGCGUUAUCCGGAAUUAUUGGGCGUAAAGCGCGCGUAGGCGGUUUUUUAAGUCUGAUGUGAAAGCCCACGGCUCAACCGUGGAGGGUCAUUGGAAACUGGAAAACUUGAGUGCAGAAGAGGAAAGUGGAAUUCCAUGUGUAGCGGUGAAAUGCGCAGAGAUAUGGAGGAACACCAGUGGCGAAGGCGACUUUCUGGUCUGUAACUGACGCUGAUGUGCGAAAGCGUGGGGAUCAAACAGGAUUAGAUACCCUGGUAGUCCACGCCGUAAACGAUGAGUGCUAAGUGUUAGGGGGUUUCCGCCCCUUAGUGCUGCAGCUAACGCAUUAAGCACUCCGCCUGGGGAGUACGACCGCAAGGUUGAAACUCAAAGGAAUUGACGGGGACCCGCACAAGCGGUGGAGCAUGUGGUUUAAUUCGAAGCAACGCGAAGAACCUUACCAAAUCUUGACAUCCUUUGACAACUCUAGAGAUAGAGCCUUCCCCUUCGGGGGACAAAGUGACAGGUGGUGCAUGGUUGUCGUCAGCUCGUGUCGUGAGAUGUUGGGUUAAGUCCCGCAACGAGCGCAACCCUUAAGCUUAGUUGCCAUCAUUAAGUUGGGCACUCUAAGUUGACUGCCGGUGACAAACCGGAGGAAGGUGGGGAUGACGUCAAAUCAUCAUGCCCCUUAUGAUUUGGGCUACACACGUGCUACAAUGGACAAUACAAAGGGCAGCGAAACCGCGAGGUCAAGCAAAUCCCAUAAAGUUGUUCUCAGUUCGGAUUGUAGUCUGCAACUCGACUACAUGAAGCUGGAAUCGCUAGUAAUCGUAGAUCAGCAUGCUACGGUGAAUACGUUCCCGGGUCU
rnacentral:rRNA from 1 species